rnacentral:rRNA from 1 species
ACGGGACCGCACAAGCGGUGGAUGAUGUGGAUUAAUCGAUGCAACGCGAAAACCUUACCUACCUUGACAUGUCCGGAAUCCUGCAGAGAUGCGGGAGUGCCCGAAAGGGAAUCGGAACACAGGUGCUGCAUGGCUGUCGUCAGCUCGUGUCGUGAGAUGUUGGGUUAAGUCCCGCAACGAGCGCAACCCUUAUCCCAGUUGCCAUCAGGUAAAGCUGGGAACUCUGGGGAGACUGCCGGUAAUAAACCGGAGGAAGGUGGGGAUGACGUCAAAUCAUCAUGCCCCUUAUGACCUGGGCUACACACGUGCUACAAUGGUUGGUACAACGAGUUGCGAGUCGGUGACGGCGAGCUAAUCUCUUAAAGCCAAUCUCAGUUCGGAUUGUAGGCUGCAACUCGCCUACAUGAAGUCGGAAUCGCUAGUAAUCGCGGAUCAGCACGCCCGCGGUCGAAUACGUUCCGGGCCUU